GCCAGAAAUGGCAUCAUACAGGAAGAUGAUGAGAAUAAGGUGUUCCAGUUCCUCAUGGGCCUUAAUGAAGCAUACAUGGGGGUAAAGAGUAACUUACUGAUGAUGCAGCCUCCUCCUACCCUUGACAAUGUCUACAAUAUGAUCCUCAAUGAUGAGAAACAGAGACAAGUCCAGUCCAUUUCUCAGUUUAAUCCAGACUCUACGUCUUUCAAUGUCCACACAAACAAACAUUCAGUUGGAAUCAAUAAGGUCACAGUGCCUAAUCCUUCUCCUUUCAGACAAAGAGUUAACUUUGACCCAGCUAGAGGUUCUUUAUUCUGUAGAUGCUGGAAAAAAUUUGGGCACUUAAUUGAUAAGUGUUACAAGAUUCAUGGGUAUCCACAAAGUGUAACAUUUAACAAGGGGAGGAGACAUGCUGCUGCUCAUCUCACUACUGGUAUGGAUUUCCCUUCUUCUGAAGGAAAUAUGUCUGCUCCUCAUGGAAAUCCUCCUGAAAGUCAUCACCCUGUUCCAAACAUGGAUGGCCAGAGUUCUAUUAUACCAGGGUUGAGCAGACAACAAUAUGACCAAUUGAUGACAUUGCUACAACAAACUCAGUUAGGGGACACCACUGCCCAGACUCCUCCUCCCAUGUAUGCUGCCAAUUUUGCUGGUACUAUACUAACUCAGAGCCCUGUAUCUGAUUCCAAAUUUUGCAUGCUUACUCACAUUAAUUCUGCCACCUGGAUAGUAGACUCAGAGGCAUCUAACCAUAUGACCUUUAAUAAAAAUUUACUCUUCAACCUCACACCUUUAACUGUGCCCUAUCUUGUAACUCUUCCUAAUUGAUAUAAAGUGAAAAGUGACAUGCACUGGAUCUUUUGCAUUAAAUCCAUUCAUCAUUCUUCAUGAUGUCUUAUUUGUUCCUUCUUUCAAAUUGGGGCCCUUAUCACACUCCCACAUCUUCUGGUUCUAGGUAUUUUCUUACAAUAGUUGAUGAUUUCUCUAGAGCAACCUGGACACAUUUACUGGGGUCUAAAAGCAAUGCUUUCUGUCUGCUUAAAUCGUUUCUAUGCAUGGUUAAAACCCAGUUUCAUGCUGUUGUUCAAACUGUUAGAAGUGAUAAUGCUUUGGAAUUGUGGUCUAGCAUUGAUGGUGCAUCCUUCUUUAGUCAACAAGGCAUUAUUCAUCAAACAACAUGUCCCCAUACUCCUCAACAGAAUGGUGUUGUUGAAAGAAAACAUAGGACUCUUCUUGAGACCUGUAGAGCCCUACUUUUUCAAUCUUGCUUACCAAUCUCUUUCUAGGGAGAUUGCUUGUUGACUGCUACCUAUCUACUUAACAGGAUACCCUCCAGACUCCUUCAUAAUAAAUCUCCUUAUGAGAUUUUGCGUGGAAAGGCACCUACUUACUCCCAUUUAAGGGCAUUUGGCUGCCUUGCCUAUGCUGAUGUCCCAAUUCCUCAAAGGGACAAUCUUAUGAAAUUUUGCAUGGAAAUGCACCUACUUACUCCUAUUUAAGGGCAUUUGGCUGCCUUGCCUAUGCUGCUGUCCUAAUUCCUCAAAGGGACAAGUUGAAACCUAGGGCCAUUUCCUGUGUCUUCCUAGGGUAUCCUUCUGCUAAAAAGGGUUAUAAACUGUAUGAUCUCACUUCCAAAAAGUGCUUUGUGUCCAGAGAUGUUGUCUUUCAUGAAACUUCUUUUCCUUUUAAAACUGUUUCUUCUGUUAACCCUACUCCUUCUGUUUCUCCCUCUUCUUUUCCUUUUGUUCUUCCUCUUGAGCAUUCCCUUUCUGAGACAGACUUGUCUAUCCCUAUUUGUUCCUCUCCUCCUUCUCCUUCUGCCCCAGUUUCUCCUUCUUCUAAUUGAGUUUCCAGUCCUCCUUUCAACCCUGAUAUUUCUCCUCCUGCUUUGCCCUCUUCCACAUCACCUAAUGUUCCCAGAAAAUCUGGAAGACAACACAAUCCUCCUUCUUAUCUUAAGGAUUAUGUCUGUUAUCUUUCUGCCUUCUCUGGAUCUUCUUCUUCUUCUCUAGAAUCUGAACCUCUCUAUUAUUCUCAAGCUGCAUCAGUUCCAGUAUGGCAGGAUGCCAUGAGAAAGGAGUUUGAUGCUUUGGAUGCCAACCAUACAUGGGAUGUUGUUCCACUUCAUCCUGGUAAGAAACCCAUAGGUUGUAAAUGGGUUUAUAAGAUCAAAUAUAAGGCUGAUGGUAGUGUUGAAAGAUAUAAAGCUAGACUUGUUAUUAGAGGGGAUACUCAAAUUGAAGGAGUUAAUUUCACUGACACUUUUUUUCCUGUGGUUAAA
rnacentral:lncRNA from 1 species